GACGAACGCUGUCGGCGUGCCUAAUACAUGCAAGUCGAGCGAAGUUUUUCUGGUGCUUGCACUAGAAAAACUUAGCGGCGAACGGGUGAGUAACACGUAAAGAACCUGCCUCAUAGACUGGGACAACUAUUGGAAACGAUAGCUAAUACCGGAUAACAGUAUUUCUCGCAUGAGAGAUAUUUAAAAGUUGGUUAUGCUAACACUAUGAGAUGGCUUUGCGGUGCAUUAGCUAGUUGGUGGGGUAAAGGCCCACCAAGGCGACGAUGCAUAGCCGACCUGAGAGGGUGAUCGGCCACACUGGGACUGAGACACGGCCCAGACUCCUACGGGAGGCAGCAGUAGGGAAUCUUCCGCAAUGGGCGAAAGCCUGACGGAGCAACGCCGCGUGAGUGAAGAAGGAUUUCGGUUCGUAAAGCUCUGUUGUUAGGGAAGAAUGGAUAUGUAGUAACUAUACAUGUAAGAGACGGUACCUAACCAGAAAGCCACGGCUAACUACGU
rnacentral:rRNA from 1 species